rnacentral:rRNA from 2 species
AUAACGACUCUCGGCAACGGAUAUCUCGGCUCUCGCAUCGAUGAAGAACGUAGCGAAAUGCGAUACUUGGUGUGAAUUGCAGAAUCCCGUGAACCAUCGAGUCUUUGAACGCAAGUUGCGCCCCAAGCCUUUCAGGCCGAGGGCACGUCUGCCUGGGUGUCACG